GACGAACGCUGGCGGCGUGCUUAACACAUGCAAGUCGAACGGAAAGGCCCUGCUUUUGUGGGGUGCUAGAGUGGCGAACGGGUGAGUAACACGUGAGUAACCUGCUCUUGACUUUGGGAUAACUUCAGGAAACUGGGGCUAAUACCGGAUAGGAGCUCCUGCUGCAUGGUGGGGGUUGGAAAGUUUCGGCGGUUGGGGAUGGACUCGCGGCUUAUCAGCUUGUUGGUGGGGUAGUGGCUUACCAAGGCUUUGACGGGUAGCCGGCCUGAGAGGGUGACCGGCCACAUUGGGACUGAGAUACGGCCCAGACUCCUACGGGAGGCAGCAGUGGGGAAUAUUGCACAAUGGGCGGAAGCCUGAUGCAGCAACGCCGCGUGCGGGAUGACGGCCUUCGGGUUGUAAACCGCUUUCGCCAGUGACGAAGCGUGAGUGACGGUAAUGGGUAAAGAAGCACCGGCUAACUACGUG
rnacentral:rRNA from 1 species